rnacentral:lncRNA from 1 species
AACAAUGCACAGUUUGUUCAGCAGAUCGGAGUAGUCCAAGGGGAUGGUGGUCUCCGAAACGAAGAGAGAUGUUGCUCCAACGGGAUAGUUAUCCAGGAGGGAUAAGUCCCGGCUCUCUAGAGGGAGAAUCAUGUGGGACGAACCUCACAUGUUGAGGAGGAGUACCUCAACAAACAACAACUCCACGAAGCUCGAUGGACUGAGCAA